rnacentral:rRNA from 1 species
GACGAACCGUGCGAACGUUGUUCGGAUUCACUGGGCUUAAAGGGCGCGUAGGCGGCUUGGCAAGCCCGGGGUGAAAGCCCCAGCCAACUGGGAAGUGCCCGGGGACUGCCAAGCUCGAGCGGGAUAGGGGCAGCUGGAACUUCGGUGGAGCGGUGAAAUGCGUAGAUAUCGGAAGGAACGCCGGUGGCGAAAGCGAGCUGCUGGAUCCCCCUGACGCUGAGGCGACGGAAGCCAGGGGAGGCGAACGGG